rnacentral:rRNA from 1 species
GACGAACGCUGGCGGCGUGCCUAAUACAUGCGAGUUGAGCGCUGAAGGUUGGUACUUGUACCAACUGGAUGAGCAGCGAACGGGUGAGUAACGCGUGGGGAAUCUGCCUUUGAGCGGGGGACAACAUUUGGAAACGAAUGCUAAUACCGCAUAAAAACUUUAAACACAAGUUUUAAGUUUGAAAGAUGCAAUUGCAUCACUCAAAGAUGAUCCCGCGUUGUAUUAGCUAGUUGGUGAGGUAAAGGCUCACCAAGGCGAUGAUACAUAGCCGACCUGAGAGGGUGAUCGGCCACAGUGGGACUGAGACACGGCCCAAACUCCUACGGGAGGCAGCAGUAGGGAAUCUUCGGCAAUGGACGAAAGUCUGACCGAGCAACGCCGCGUGAGUGAAGAAGGUUUUCGGAUCGUAAAACUCUGUUGGUAGAGAAGAACGUUGGUGAGAGUGGAAAGCUCAUCAAGUGACGGUAACUACCCAGAAAGGGACGGCUAACUACGUG